rnacentral:rRNA from 1 species
AUUGAACGCUGGCGGCAGGCCUAACACAUGCAAGUCGAGCGAGCGGCGGACGGGUGAGUAAUGUAUGGGGACUGCCCGCUAGAGGGGGAUAACUACUGGAAACGGUAUCUAAUACCGCAUACUAACGGAUAACCCAUAGGGGAUUAGCUAGUAGGUGAGGUAAGGGCUCACCUAGGCGACGAUCCCUAGAUGGUCUGAGAGGAUGAUCAGCCACACUGGGACUGAGACACGGCCCAGACUCCUACGGAGGCAGCAGUGGGGAAUAUUGCACAAUGGGCGCAAGCCUGAUGCAGCCAUGCCGCGUGUAUGAAGAAGGCCCUAGGGUUGUAAAGUACUUUCAGUCGGGAGGCGUUACCGACAGAAGAAGCACCGGCUAACUCCGUGCCAGCAGCCGCGGUAAUAC